rnacentral:rRNA from 1 species
AUUGAACGCUGGCGGCAGGCCUAACACAUGCAAGUCGAGCGGUAGAGAGAAGCUUGCUUCUCUUGAGAGCGGCGGACGGGUGAGUAAUGCCUAGGAAUCUGCCUGGUAGUGGGGGAUAACGUUCGGAAACGGACGCUAAUACCGCAUACGACCUACGGGAGAAAGCAGGGGACCUUCGGGCCUUGCGCUAUCAGAUGAGCCUAGGUCGGAUUAGCUAGUUGGUGAGGUAAUGGCUCACCAAGGCGACGAUCCGUAACUGGUCUGAGAGGAUGAUCAGUCACACUGGAACUGAGACACGGUCCAGACUCCUACGGGAGGCAGCAGUGGGAAUAUUGGACAAUGGGCGAAAGCCUGAUCCAG